AGGACCUUUCUGCAACAGGCACAGAGGCACACACGUCCCCUGAUUCAUUAACAUGGUAACGAUCUCAGGGUGAGCAUUAAUGGCCACAUCACUGCCAAGCAUCUGGCUGAGGUUAACGGCUUCCACGCGGCAGAGUAAUGAGUGGAAACGUGAGUGUGCCACAUGAAGUGAACACAAAUUCAUUCUUCCUGCAAAAACGGAUGUUUCAGCAAAGCACACAGAGCCAAUUCCACAGCACCUAACUGAGCUGCUGCCCUCAGUGAGCAUUUGCAAAGGAGAAAUCUCACAGCUGGAUGAGCAGACUUGUGCAAGCUGGGAUAACAUCAGCACAGAAACAAAAACCUCUGAGAAACAGCAGCACCAAC
ensembl:lncRNA